UCAACCCUUUCAAGCUCAAAAAGUAGAAUAAUGACAUGAUAAAUCUGCUACUUACCAACACUCCAGAAAAAAGACUUGUCUACACGUCCUCAGGCUGGAGAGAACAUCAAGGAGGGAAUUUCAUGACUGCAAAUCGGUCUUUCCAAAAUAAUAUUCCUAAUGAUAGCUACUGUUUACGGAGUGCUUCCUCUGCGUGCCGGGCCUGCACUUGCUGAGCACCGUGCAUCCGAUAGCCAUAAUCAACUAAAUUUACUUCAUGCUUACCAACGGGUUGCUGUGGAUGGUCUGAAGAAAACCACUGAUGUAAGAUAAUCAUCAUUCAUUAAAUUCUAACCCCACCCCUAUGAGGCAACUCAAACGUGUUCUUCUCAAGACAGUGGCAGAGUGCAAGAGCACGAGUGGGAAUAAGCAAGUGCCUUUCAAGCCUGUUUGCAUCAUGUCUGCUCACACCCAGUUGUUCCAAUAAGUCAGAUGUCUGGGCCCCUUCUAGGGCACCACAAGGUUACAGGACAAGGGCAGUUAAUGCAAUCAACCUACCGUAGCUCUCAGAAACUGGGGCAGCAGAGGAUGCCUGGGAAAGCCCUAUCAUUUGUUCUAGUCCACCCAGAAGUCUGCCUUGUCCAAGGAUAGCAUAUCCAUCCGUCCAUCUAUUCAAACAUUUGUGGGGACUGACUUUAGCCUAACAGCUUCAGAGGACAUGGGAACAGAAAGAAUUGGGUCCUACUCUAAGGGAGCUUAAGAUACAAUAGGCAUGAACCCAAAAAAUGUCAGCAUAAUGGGACCUUGAGAAAGGCCAAAGAAUUACCAACAAAUUGUUACAUGGCUGAGAUUGCCAAAUAUUGUGGUCUGCAGAAGGAUCUAGGCCCAUUGUGGAUUUUUCAGAAAUCUAAGGUAAAAUGAGCCCAAAAAAGCCAAUGUAGACAGAUUUGUUUGUAAGGUUAAAUUUGUUCUAUUUCAAAAACCAUUGUUUAUUCUGAAAAUGUCCUUCCUACAUUUGAAAUUAACAUGUUGACUUUUAUAAAAUUAAAAGAAAAUAGUUGUGUUUUUUUUGAGGAAGAUUAGCCCUGAGCUAACAUCUGCCACCAAUCCUCCUCUUUCUUUCUUUCUUUCUUUCUUUUUUUUCUGAGGAAGAUUGGCCCUGAGAUAACAUUCAUGCCCAUCUUCCUUUAUUUUAUAUGUGGGACGCCUGUCGCAACAUGGCUUGAUAAGCAAUGCGUAGGUCCACACCCAGGAUCCAAACCGGUGAACCCCAGGCCACUGAAGCGGAGCGUGCAAACUUAACUGCUGCACCACUGGACAAGCCCCAAAAAUAGUUUUAUUUGUGGCUUUUUAAAAUAUCCUUACCUAGUAGAAUAAAAGUUGUCAAUCUAAAAUCUAUCCUUCCCAAAUCCC
rnacentral:lncRNA from 1 species